GGGAUAAAUCUGGGGCUGAGUACAAGCAAAACAAGACCAAAGGAAGCUACCUGAGCAGGUAUUCCAGAUACUCAUGUCAUACACCAAGGUUGUACCAGUGCCCCUUUCUCUGUGACACAUCCAUCCACUGGAAACUUUCGUACAACUAGCUGAAAGAAGAGAAACAUCCUAUUUCAUGUCACUGGAGCCCUAAUGAUCGCAGCCAUUUCAGGAAAUGCCAUCAAUUACAGUGAGGAGCUCAUUCAGAAGUGAAAGAUGAGUUCCAUUCUCUGUUACUUAGAGGACAAUAGAUUAUAUUGGAUGUAGAUGAAGUUUGGGCAGAAUCAGGGAUCAAUGGCUCCAUCUAAAUUGUUGCACCAAAACACAGACAUACACCUGCUUUUAGAUUUGAAGAGUGAAUCCUCUCUGGAAAAUGUAGCAACUACUCAAAAAAGGUUGGAGGACCAACACUUCUAAGAAGCAGGAGGGUGGAUAUCCUCCUCCACUGAAUGCAAACUAUUAAGUAAUGAAAAGACAGCACUCCAAGCAAUAUAGAUUUAUAGGCCAACCUGGCAAUCAAGGGUAACUGACAUGAAAAUGGAUUGCUUCACAUUUUAAUUACAAAGAUACUCUUCAGUACCAUAAAUUGAAGAAAACACUAACUUUUUGUGGCUACUGUAAUUGUCAAAGUAUAAUUACCUGUGUUUUCUCACCUACGUAUUUGAGAUAGAGACAAAACCAAGUAAGUUAAUCCACUUAUAAUAAAAAUGUCUUCUGAGAAUA
rnacentral:lncRNA from 1 species